GUACUCACUUUGGCAGCACAUGCACUAAACAAUACAAAGAAGAUUAGCAUGGCCCCUAUGCAAGGAUGACACCCAAAUUUGUGAAGCAUUCCAUAUUUCU
ensembl:snRNA Gm24410 predicted gene, 24410